AACGCACGAGACCUGCGGACCUGCGGAAGGAUCAUUAUCGAAUUUGAAGGGGCUCGGGUUGUAGCUGGUCUCUCGGGACAGGUGCUCGCCCUUGCUCUCUUACACCCACACACCCUGUGCACUCUUGCGUGGGUCGCGUCGACUUUGUUCGGCGCGCUCGCGACUUUAUACAAACCCCCCUGUAUGUUUUAGAAUGUCUCUGCGUACCUACGCAACCUAGUACAACUUUUAGCAACGGAU
rnacentral:misc_RNA from 1 species